rnacentral:tRNA from 1 species
GUAACUUUAGUUUAAAUUAAAAUGAUAGUUUGUCUCACUAUUGAUGGCUUUUGCUAAGUUACU